rnacentral:lncRNA from 1 species
UUUGAAUGGUUCCGGUUAAGUUCGGUGAAGUUCGGGAGCAUUCGGGCGUUUCGGUGCGCGUAGGCGCGAAAACAGGACCCGAAAGGCUAUGUUGGGCCGUGAAUUAAAUCCGGCAUUAGCGUGGAUGAAAAGAUGAUGAAAACAUGCUCGAAAAUAUGUUUGGAGAGUUUUGGUUCGAUUUGAAAAGAAUCGGAGGUCAAACGAGCGAAAACGAGCGAAAACGGAGAAAAAAUGGUGAAAAAGCUGAAAAUUUGGCAAAGUCCUAAAAUGCUGAAAUUCUGGACCUACGGGGACCGGUCCUGUCACGCCCCGCGACCAACCGCCUAUUUUGACCGGGUCGCGGCGCCGACGACAGACCGCCGAACGGACCGGGAAUUCCCCUGUACGCGGACAGAGUCUCCCCAGUACGUCCAAGGCGUCGCAAUCCAAACAAU